UACAGAGGUCUCAAGCGUUGUUCGGAUUCAUUGGGCGUAAAGGGUGCGUAGGUGGCGCCGUAAGUCGGGUGUGAAAUCCUGAGGCUUAACCUCAGAACUGCAUUCGAUACUGCGGUGCUUGAGGACUGGAGAGGAGACUGGAAUUCAUGGUGUAGCAGUGAAAUGCGUAGAGAUCAUGAGGAAGACCAGUGGCGAAGGCGGGUCUCUGGACAGUUCCUGACACUGAGGCACGAAGGCCAGGGGAGCAAACGGG
rnacentral:rRNA from 1 species